rnacentral:rRNA from 1 species
AUUGAACGCUGGCGGCAUGCUUUACACAUGCAAGUCGAACGGUAACAGGCCGCAAGGUGCUGACGAGUGGCGAACGGGUGAGUAAUGCAUCGGAACGUGCCCAGUCGUGGGGGAUAACUACUCGAAAGAGUAGCUAAUACCGCAUACGAUCUAUGGAUGAAAGCGGGGGACCGUAAGGCCUCGCGCGAUUAGAGCGGCCGAUGUCAGAUUAGGUAGUUGGUGGGGUAAAGGCUCACCAAGCCAACGAUCUGUAGCUGGUCUGAGAGGACGACCAGCCACACGGGGACUGAGACACGGCCCAGACUCCGACGGGAGGCAGCAGUGGGGAAUUUUGGACAAUGGGCGCAAGCCUGAUCCAGCAAUGCCGCGUGCAGGAAGAAGGCCUUCGGGUUGUAAACUGCUUUUGUACGGAACGAAACGGCUCUGGUUAAUACCCGGGGCUAAUGACGGUACCGUAAGAAUAAGCACCGGCUAACUACGUG